rnacentral:rRNA from 1 species
AUUGAACGCUGGCGGCGUGCUUUACACAUGCAAGUCGGACGAGUGGCGAACGGGUGAGUAACGCAUCGGAACGUACCGAGUAAUGGGGGAUAACUGUCCGAAAGGACAGCUAAUACCGCAUAUUAUUCGAGCGGCCGAUGUCUGAUUAGCUGGUUGGCGGGGUAAAGGCCCACCAAGGCGACGAUCAGUAGCGGGUCUGAGAGGAUGAUCAGCAAAACUGGGACUGAGAAACGGCCCAGCGUCCUACGGGAGGCAGCAGGGGGGAAUUUUGGACAAGGGGCGCAAGCCUGAUCCAGCCAUGCCGCGUGUCUGAAGAAGUCCGUCGGGUUGUAAAGGACUUUUGUCAGGGAAGCGGUACCUGAAGAAUAAGCACCGGCUAACUACGUGCCAGCAGCCGCGGUAAUA